rnacentral:rRNA from 1 species
GAUGAACGCUGGCGGCGUGCCUAAUACAUGCAAGUCGAGCGAACAGACGAGGAGCUUGCUCCUCUGACGUUGGCGGCGGACGGGUGAGUAACACGUGGAUAACCUACCUAUAAGACUGGGAUAACUUCGGGAAACCGGAGCUAAUACCGGAUAAUAUAUUGAACCGCAUGGUUCAAUAGUGAAAGACGGUUUUGCUGUCACUUAUAGAUGGAUCCGCGCCGCAUUAGCUAGUUGGUAAGGUAACGGCUUACCAAGGCGACGAUGCGUAGCCGACCUGAGAGGGGGAUCGGCCACACUGGAACUGAGACACGGUCCAGACUCCUACGGGAGGCAGCAGUAGGGAAUCUUCCGCAAUGGGCGAAAGCCUGACGGAGCAACGCCGCGUGAGUGAUGAAGGUCUUCGGAUCGUAAAACUCUGUUAUUAGGGAAGAACAAAUGUGUAAGUAACUAUGCACGUCUUGACGGUACCUAAUCAGAAAGCCACGGCUAACUACGUG